GCCGGGAUGGCGGAACUGGUCAGACGCGCCCGACUUAAAAUCGGGUGGCCUGCGGGCCGUGCGGGUUCGAGUCCCGCUCCCGGCA
rnacentral:tRNA from 1 species